UUAAAUAUCUUAAGUUGUAUUGGGAGUAAUUUGAGGUGCAGUUAUUUUUAUCACUACUUUCUUCAGGAAACUAAGCAAUAAAUAUACAUUUUUAAUGAAGAAUAUAUCAGUUGUGAGUAGGCUUGUUUCAAAACUAUUCUAGCCAUUGAGUUGUGUUUUCAUGUGCCUCAUCAGAAGACGGUGCCACAUGCUUUGUUCCAUAAAAUGUUGCCGUUUCAUUUCAGUAGUUAUAAUACAGGGAAAUAGAUAUUUCCUGGGUGAUUUCU
rnacentral:lncRNA from 1 species